rnacentral:rRNA from 1 species
GCGUUGUUCGGAUUUAUUGGGCGUAAAGGGCUCGUAGGCGGUUUGUCGCGUCGGGAGUGAAAACACACAGCUUAACUGUGUGCUUGCUUCCGAUACGGGCAGACUAGAGGUAUGCAGGGGAGAACGGAAUUCCUGGUGUAGCGGUGAAAUGCGCAGAUAUCAGGAGGAACACCGGUGGCGAAGGCGGUUCUCUGGGCAUUACCUGACGCUGAGGAGCGAAAGUGUGGGGAGCGAACAGG